GACGGGGCCGCACAAGCGGUGGAGCAUGUGGUUAAUUCGAUGCAACGCGGAGAACCUUACCUGGGCUUGACAUCCCGGGAAUCCCUUGGAAACAAGGGAGUGCCCUUCGGGGAACCUGGAGACAGGUGCUGCAUGGCUGUCGUCAGCUCGUGUCGUGAGAUGUUGGGUUAAGUCCCGUAACGAGCGCAACCCUUGUCCUUAGUUACCAGCACGUAAUGGUGGGCACUCUAAGGAGACUGCCGGUGACAAACCGGAGGAAGGUGGGGGAUGACGUCAAGUCAUCAUGGCCCUUACGGCCAGGGCUACACACGUGCUACAAUGGUCGGUACAGAGGGUUGCCAAACCGCGAGGUGGAGCUAAUCUCACAAAACCGAUCGUAGUCCGGAUCGCAGUCUGCAACUCGACUGCGUGAAGUCGGAAUCGCUAGUAAUCGUGAAUUCAGAAUGUCACGGUGAAUACGUUCCCGGGCCUU
rnacentral:rRNA from 1 species